rnacentral:rRNA from 1 species
CCUACGGGAGGCAGCAGUGAGGAAUAUUGGUCAAUGGACGCAAGCCUGAACCAGCCAUGCCGCGUGAAGGAAGACGGCUCUAUGGGUUGUAAACUGCUUUUGUACGAGGGUAAACGCAGAUACGCGUAUCUGUCUGAAAGUAUCGUACGAAUAAGGAUCGGCUAACUCCGUGCCAGCAGCCGCGGUAAUACGGAGGAUUCAAGCGUUAUCCGGAUUUAUUGGGUUUAAAGGGUGCGUAGGCGGUCGGUUAAGUUAGAGGUGAAAUCCCGAGGCUCAACUUCGGAAUUGCAUUUGAUACUGGUCGGCUUGAGUUUAGUUGAGGUAGGCGGAAUGUAUGGUGUAGCGGUGAAAUGCUUAGAGAUCAUGCAGAACACCGAUUGCGAAGGCAGCUUACCAAGCUACUACUGACGUUGAGGCACGAAAGCGUGGGGAGCAAACAGGAUUAGAUACCCGAGUAGUC